UUUAUCGGAGAGUUUGAUCCUGGCUCAGGACGAACGCUGGCGGCGUGCCUAAUACAUGCAAGUCGAGCGGACAGAUGGGAGCUUGCUCCCUGAUGUUAGCGGCGGACGGGGGAGUAACACGUGGGUAACCUGCCUGUAAGACUGGGAUAACUCCGGGAAACCGGGGCUAAUACCGGAUGGUUGUUUGAACCGCAUGGUUCAGACAUAAAAGGUGGCUUCGGCUACCACUUACAGAUGG
rnacentral:rRNA from 1 species